UUUUUCUCGUUUUUAUGGCAGAUGCAAAUUAUUAUCAUUAAGGAACUGAAACAAAGUACCGCAACUCUGCCAACAUAGUUACUUUAUCUGCUUUGAUUAGAAAAUCCCUGAACUUCUUCCCAGUGUGUGCCUCCUCACCCCUGUGAUCCAAAUAGUGACUUUUCGACAAAUUCUAAAGUGUGUGGCCUCCUUCAAACACGUAACAUCUAGUAAAUGUCUACAGUUAGAGCCAUUGGACAGUGACAUAGUGUAAAUCUGCUUCUGUACACAGGGGGUUUUAAAUCAAUCAGUAUGUAAUUGAAGUGCACAUAACAAAUUUGUAUUAAGUGUUUGGGAAUUGUUUGUUUUUUAGGAUUUUUUUUUUUUUUUUUUUUUUUUUUUUUGAACUCCUAUCCAGACCUUCCUAUGGUUGGAAACGUGUUUGAACAACAUUUGACCGAGAGUUUACUGAUCUACAGGGUUGAGACGGGUGUACUUCAUGUUUCAGGAGGAAAUGCUGGCUGUGUGCUGGUAAUAUAGCUGCAUUUUAAAAUGCUUACACAGCUUGUGUGAAAUGCCAGAGACUUAACUGGAUCUGCUCAGGAAUGUGACAAGUGACUAAGGUGUUAUGUCCAGUGAAGAUGGAGGCAAGGAGAGCGGAGCAUGUUAGGUUGGAGUUUACAGGAAAAGGGGUUUUUUUUUGUUUUGUUUUUUCUGCCUGUAUUGAUCUGUGGUAGCAGAAGGAAAUUAAGCAGCAUCCUGCAGUGUUGGCAUGUUUAAUUGCAGCAUACUGUGUCAAGCUGCCGUGUCUAAUUAAAUGUAUCAUUUAAUUGGUCAGGCUCUGCAAGAAACAAUGUCUAGGAAGUAAAUAAAUCUGAUAUCUGUUGAAUAAAUUUGGUGACACAAUAUGCAAUAUAACCCAAGCAUUAAAAAAGAACAAAAAACAAACUAUUAAAGUUGUGACAUUCCACCAUUGGGCAACUGGAUUAGCUUUUUUUUUGUUUUGUUUUGUUUUUUUUAAUUUAUUAAUCUGUACUGUGAAUGUGUACUUAAGAGAAGUGGUCAUUAACACCAGAAAUAAUCUGAGCAAAUAGAGUAAAAUCCAGCACAGCAGCCAAAAAUGUUUCAGGCCUGAGGAGGUGAAGCUGCAGACAGAGGAGCAGAGGAGACAGGCUGCAGGUUCGGUGAUCGGAAGCAGAUGUGGACAAGAUGAUGAAUUUUGACCGUUUUACUUUUUACAAUAAUUAUUUAAAUGUUUCUUUCUUUUUGUAUCUUGGUCAAUUUAAAAUGUAGUCUGUGAGAAUGUGUAGUUCAGUCUGUCUCACAGUGUGCACUCUGUUUUUGUAAGUAUUUAAUUUUAAUUUUUAACUUGUGUGUUUAUUUAUAUUGGUACAUCUUUUAUUUAUUUAAUUUUUAGGGAUUACUUUAGAUUGUGAUCUCAAAUACUUGUUUUAUCAAAUCUUAAUUAAAAUUUGACAAAUGAAAUUAAAAUAAACAACUUGAAGAAAUUAA